CGGUAAUACAGAGGGUGCAAGCGUUAAUCGGAAUUACUGGGCGUAAAGCGCGCGUAGGUGGUUUGUUAAGUUGAAUGUGAAAGCCCCGGGCUCAACCUGGGAACUGCAUCCAAAACUGGCAAGCUAGAGUACGGUAGAGGGUGGUGGAAUUUCCUGUGUAGCGGUGAAAUGCGUAGAUAUAGGAAGGAACACCAGUGGCGAAGGCGACCACCUGGACUGAUACUGACACUGAGGUGCGAAAGCGUGGGGAGCAAACAGGAUUAGA
rnacentral:rRNA from 1 species